AACGAACGCUGGCGGCAUGCCUAACACAUGCAAGUCGAACGAGACCUUCGGGUCUAGUGGCGCACGGGUGCGUAACGCGUGGGAACCUGCCCUUAGGUUCGGAAUAACUCCCCGAAAGGGGUGCUAAUACCGGAUAAUGUCUUCGGACCAAAGAUUUAUCGCCUUGGAUGGGCCCGCGUUGGAUUAGCUAGUUGGUAGGGUAAAAGCCUACCAAGGCGACGAUCCAUAGCUGGUCUGAGAGGAUGAUCAGCCACACUGGGACUGAGACACGGCCCAGACUCCUACGGGAGGCAGCAGUGGGGAAUAUUGGACAAUGGGCGAAAGCCUGAUCCAGCAAUGCCGCGUGAGUGAUAAAGGCCUUAGGGUUGUAAAGCUCUUUUACCCGGGAUGAUAAUGACAGUACCGGGAGAAUAAGCUCCGGCUAACUCCGUG
rnacentral:rRNA from 1 species